AACGCACAUUGCGCCCUUUGGUAUUCCGAAGGGCAUGCCUGUUCGAGCGUCAUUAUCACCCCUCAAGCCCUGUGCUUGGUGUUGGACGGCUGGUCGAGCGAUCGACCCCUCCUAAAGACAAUGACGGCGGCCUGCGGUUCCCCCGGUACACUGAGCUUUUAACCGAGCACGUAUCGGACCAGGGCACCCGGGACCCGGUCCUCUCCUUUAACUAGGAAACUUCUUAAGGUUGACCUCGGAUCAGGUAGGAAUACGCGCUGAACUUAA
rnacentral:misc_RNA from 1 species